rnacentral:rRNA from 1 species
ACGUACGACCAUACUUAAGCUGCGAACCGGCCGAUUAGUACUCAAGUGGGUGACCAUUGGGGAAUCCCGGCUGUUGUACGUU